AUCCCUCAAAUCCCAAUGUUUUGCAAAACUCGUUGCUUGGAUUUGGUCGUGGGCCUUUACUUGCUACUUCAUUGUUAGCUGGCCUUAAAGAUAUUAGCUUGGACUUUCGAACCUUUUCAGAAGGGUCUCCAUAUGAUGUGAUAAAUUUACGUCGAUGGGCUUAAAGACUUUACUGUUGUUAAUGGUUUUGAAAAUGAAUCAGUCUGCUUUCUAACCCGGCGAAGAGUUCCAUCUCUGACCCAUUAUUCAUUAA
rnacentral:misc_RNA from 1 species